rnacentral:rRNA from 1 species
AGAGUUUGAUCAUGGCUCAGAAUCAACGCUGGCGGCGUGCCUAACACAUGCAAGUCGAACGAGAAAGUGGAGCAAUCCAUGAGUACAGUGGCGACCGGGUGAGUAACACGUGAUCAACCUACCCUCGAGUGGGGGAUAACUCCGGGAAACCGGAGCUAAUACCGCAUAACAUCUUCGGUCCACAUGAACUGAUGAUCAAAGGAGCAAUUCGCUUGAGGAGGGGGUCGCGGCUGAUUAGCUAGUUGGUAGGGUAAUGGCCUACCAAGGCUUAGAUCGGUAUCCGGCCUGAGAGGGCGCACGGACACACUGGAACUGAAACACGGUCCAGACUCCUACGGGAGGCAGCAGUGGGGAAUUUUGCGCAAUGGGGGAAACCCUGACGCAGCAACGCCGCGUGGAGGAUGAAGUCCCUUGGGACGUAAACUCCUUUCGACCGGGAAGAUACUGACGGUACCGGAUGAAGAAGCACCGGCUAACUCUGCGCCAGCAGCCGCGGUAAUACAGAGGGUGCGAGCGUUGUUCGGAAUUAUUGGGCGUAAAGGGCGCGUAGGCGGCGCGGUAAGUCACCUGUGAAAUCUCCUGGCUCAACUGGGAGCUUGCAGGCGAAACUGCCGUGCUGGAGUGUGGGAGAGGUGCGUGGAAUUCCUGGUGUAGCGGUGAAAUGCGUAGAUAUCAGGAGGAACACCUGUGGCGAAAGCGGCGCACUGGACCACAACUGACGCUGAGGCGCGAAAGCUAGGGGAGCAAACAGGAUUAGAUACCCUAGUAGUCC